GUAUAGCAUUCAGGCAUGGCCAGAAACAUGAAGCAGGAUAUGAAUGCCUGUGUAUGGAACACAUCCUGGAGUCCAGAUUGACAGGAGCACAGGGUUUACAUAAGAAGUGGGAGGACCAGCUGGAAAGGUGACAGGAGAGAGUGGGCAAGACCACGAACCAGGAGAGUGCUGGGGUCCUGGGAUCCACAGAAUGGAAUUUCAAGAACACUGAUAAAUUGCUGUAGCACCAUUAAAAAAAAAGAAAGAAAAUAAAA